GUAUGAUCGAGGGUAGGGGAAAUAUGCAUCUUGGAGCGCGAUGAACAAAAUUUAAGGUAGUCUGUGAGCAGGCGAGUGACUAUGCGCUUGCGUGGCCCUCGGAGAGUUCUCUUCCUUUUUUAAUUUUCCUUUUUUCCUCUCGUCUGUUUUUGUUCACAUUUUCCUUUCCUCUCGUUUCUCUUUUCUUCAUCUUUUUCUUCAGAACAUCGAUUCAAUCUCCGAGGGUCUACAAUCUUCCCUGCUUUCCUUUCAUCCGAUUCGACAUGUUAAAUUGAAAUCACCGAGAGCAAUUGUUGAGCCAGGCCAAAUUUGGAACUGAUAAUACGAACCUACCUAAAUUGGAUCAAGAAAUACACCGAAGAUUCUUAAGUGAAAUCAAAAUGAAAUUCAUCGAACUGGCAAAAUAUUGAAGAAUAUUCUGAUAAUAAUAGCUGAUAAUAAUCACUGUAAACAAACAUCAAUUGAUUCGAAAUGAUAUGAUGACACUAUUCACUGAUAAAAUACGGCUGAAACAUUGUUUGACGGAUCGUCAAUAAUGUCGAAAUUGGAAAAGGGAAAGCAAAAAUCCUCUUUUAUCGAGGAUUUGUAAAUAUAUUUAUUUGUAUAUACAAACACGUAUACGUAAUCUGUAUAAAGAGAGAGAUGUAGAGUACUGAUAUUAAAAGUACAACGCUACUCAACAUGCUCGGUGAAUGAGAAUUUCUUUCGAAAUUGGCCAGUAGUCGGCGUUGCAGAUCACAUGUACUACUAAUGUAUUCAAGAAACAAUUAUACACAGCCAAUAACUUCUACAAAUUCUUUAUUUUCAUAAAAAAGCAAAGAUAUUUUGGGAGAUAUAUUACACAACAGAAGACAUAUUAAAUAAUCAACAAGUUUCAUAGCAGUUUCAUGUAUGUAUAAUUUAUUACAAUAGAUCUGUUUCUGUUCAUACUACCUUCUUAAUGGGAUGAAGAUCAUUGAAAACUGUAUUAUAAUCUUCGACUCUGACAUUUUAUUGGUAUUAAUCUUUUAUUCAAUUAAAUAAUGCAAAACUUUAAAAAUGUGACCAUUCUGCGAUGAAUGAUUAUUGGCAUUAAUGUAAAUAUAUUUCUAUGUAAGUGAAUGUUAAUUCUAAUAUUUAUUCAUAAUAAUUUAUAAAUAGUUAUAAGUUUUUAUAAGUAUUUUAUUUUAAGAUUUUAGAAAUUAGAGUUUUAGAAAUUAAAUUGAAAUAAUAAUAAAAUAUUUUUCUAAGAAAUUUAUAGAAUUUUCGAAGAUUUCAAAACGCCGAGCAGUAAUUUAUCGUAAUUUAUUUUUUUAAGAUUAACAAUGAUUUUUCAUUUUGAAUUUCAUUUUAGUUUUUCUUUCUUUUACUUUACUUAAAUUAUAAUAGCAAAAGAAAGAAAAUUCUUUUGAAAUUAAAAUGAAACAAAAACAAUUUAACAAUCUAGUCAACAAGUGAUAAAGAUUUAAAUAUUUAAUGCGAGAAUCAAAACAUAUAGAUAAUCUAGUCUAAAAAAAAAAGAAAAAUAUAGUCAUGAUCUAGUCAAAAUCGAGUAAUAUUUAUCUAAUCAUAAAAUAUAUAUUAUAUUCUAGUCAUUAUUUAAUAUUCCAAUUGGUGCCACGAAUCAAUUUCGCGACAAUUUUUUUAAAAUUUUCUUGUGGAUUAUUACUAAAAAUUAAGCUGAAGAUAAAUUACAAAAAAUAUAUAUUUAAUUUAAUUUCACGUAGCAUCAACGAGGCUGUGUACAUACUUUCUCGUGUCUUUUUUUGAUUCUAAUCACACCAUAGUCAUUGCAUUCUAGUCAUUGCGUUUUUUUCAAAUAAUACAUAGAUAUUAUAAGUUUCAUUUCAUAUUCCUCAAAGGAUAUGCAGGCCACAUAUGAAUGCAAUUUGGAACUUUUUUCAAAUAGUAUCUAGUCAUAUAAACAUUUGUUCAUAUAUUUAUAUAUAUUUUCUCAAACAAAUAUGUGUGGAUGCGAUGCCAUAAAAAAGUUAAAUUGCAAAAAUAUAAUAUACUCGAUUUU